AUUGAACGCUGGCGGCAGGCUUAACACAUGCAAGUCGAGCGGAGCGAGGGUGCUUGCACCUUAGCUUAGCGGCGGACGGGUGAGUAAUGCUUAGGAAUCUGCCUAUUAGUGGGGGACAACAUUCCGAAAGGAAUGCUAAUACUGCAUACGCCCUACGAGGGAAAGCAGGGGAUCUUCGGACCUUGCGCUAAUAGAUGAGCCUAAGUCGGAUUAGCUAGUUGGUGGGGUAAAGGCCUACCAAGGCGACGAUCUGUAGCGGGUCUGAGAGGAUGAUCCGCCACACUGGGACUGAGACACGGCCCAGACUCCUACGGGAGGCAGCAGUGGGGAAUAUUGGACAAUGGGCGGAAGCCUGAUCCAGCCAUGCCGCGUGUGUGAAGAAGGCCUUUUGGUUGUAAAGCACUUUAAGCGAGGAGGAGGCUACUUAGAUUAAUACUCUGGGAUAGUGGACGUUACUCGCAGAAUAAGCACCGGCUAACUCUGUGCCAGCCGCCGCCGUAGA
rnacentral:rRNA from 1 species